CCCUUAGAUGUUCUGGGCCGCACGCGCGCUACACUGUUCGACGCAGCGAGUCUUAACCUUGACCGAAAGGUUUGGGUAAUCUUCAGCAAAGUCGAACGUGAUGGGGAUCGAUCAUUGCAAUUAUUGAUCGUGAACGAGGAAUUCCUAGUAAGUGCAAGUCAUCAGCUUGCGCUGAUUACGUCCCUGCCCUUUGUACACACCGCCCGUCGCUACUACCGAUUGAAUGGUUUAGUGAGAUCUCUGGAUUGACGCUGGCUAGGGGGCGACCCUUGGCCAGACUGUUGAGAAACUGCUCAAACUUGAUCAUUUAGAGGAAGUAAAAGGCGUAAC
rnacentral:rRNA from 1 species